CCUACGGGAGGCAGCAGUAAGGAAUAUUGGUCAAUGGACGCAAGUCUGAACCAGCCAUGCCGCGUGGAGGAUGAAGGUCCUCUGGAUUGUAAACUUCUUUUAUCUGGGACGAAAAAAGGUUUUUCUAGACCGACUGACGGUACCAGACGAAUAAGCACCGGCUAACUCCGUGCCAGCAGCCGCGGUAAUACGGAGGGUGCAAGCGUUAUCCGGAUUCACUGGGUUUAAAGGGUGCGUAGGUGGAUUAGUAAGUCAGUGGUGAAAUCUCUGGGCUUAACCCGGAAACUGCCAUUGAUACUAUUAGUCUUGAAUACCGUGGAGGUCAGCGGAAUAUGUCAUGUAGCGGUGAAAUGCUUAGAUAUGACAUAGAACACCAAUUGCGAAGGCAGCUGGCUACACGAAUAUUGACACUCAGGCACGAAAGCGUGGGGAUCAAACAGGAUUAAAUAACCGUGUAGUC
rnacentral:misc_RNA from 1 species